ACGGGUGAGUAAUAUAUCGGAACGUGCCCAAUCGUGGGGGAUAACGUAGAGAAAUUUACGCUAAUACCGCAUACGAUCUAAGGAUGAAAGCGGGGGAUCGCAAGACCUCGCGCGAUUGGAGCGGCUGAUAUCAGAUUAGGUUGUUGGUGAGGUAAAAGCUCACCAAGCCGACGAUCUGUAGCUGGUUUGAGAGAACGACCAGCCACACUGGGACUGAGACACGGCCCACACUCCUACGGGAGGCAGCAGUGGGGAAUUUUGGACAAUGGGCGAAAGCCUGAUCCAGCAAUGCCGCGUGCAGGAAGAAGGCCUUCGGGUUGUAAACUGCUUUUGUACGGAACGAAACGGCUCUUUCUAAUAAAGAGGGCUAAUGACGGUACCGUAAGAAUAAGCACCGGCUAACUACGUGCCAGCAGCCGCGGUAAUACGUAGGGUGCGAGCGUUAAUCGGAAUUACUGGGCGUAAAGCGUGCGCAGGCGGUUAUAUAAGACAGUUGUGAAAUCCCCGGGCUCAACCUGGGAAUUGCAUCUGUGACUGUAUAGCUAGAGUACGGUAGAGGGGGAUGGAAUUCCGCGUGUAGCAGUGAA
rnacentral:rRNA from 1 species